rnacentral:lncRNA from 1 species
CGGCCGGUUCGCCCCGAGCCGCGGCGGCGGCGCCCGAGGCCGCCCGAAUUCGGCCGGAAGUUGGAAGCCGUCGCCUGCGCGCACGCGAGACGAGGAGGGAGAGGGGGGGAGAGAGGGGCGCGUCGGAGCUUUGUACUUUCCGCCCGUCUCAUCGGGAAUUCCUGCCGGAAUCGCACACUGCCGCCAUGGCCGAUCCUUUAUCCGCUCGUGCACGUACUUUGUACGUAUGCACGUGCGGCGCACGAGUGUAGAAUGUGUAGAUGCCGAUGAGCAGGUAUGCGCGCAUGUGUGUACGGCUCAUACGAGGGCGUGUGCGUGAAUCCGCACGGGCCACCGACCGCGGCUCGACCGAAAUUUUCUUCGCAAUUGGCGUUAAAGAUCGUUGCUGGCCGGUCAUGGACAAAGCCGUGGAUGAAAUUUCGGCUGGACGGAAGUGUAAAUGAGAAAAGGGCGGCUGGGAUCGAAAAGGGGGGAGAUUUUAUCGGGGAGAAAGAGGGGGGGGAGACAUGAAAGGACACGCUGCUGCAUUUUUUCGCUGCGGAAUUGAAAGGGAUAAAAAGUUGACGCCUCUCGUGCCUCUCUCGAUUAUUCGCUUCACACGUGAUUCCAAUAAAAAUUUAAAUUGACAUGAAGAAAAUGCGACGGAAUGCUUCGUCAAGGACCAGAGAAUCAUUCUAUGCUCGUCUGGUCAAUUUUAUGCGUUCGUCGGCCAGUCUCGAGAAUCAUCGCUGCAGUCACGUGUAAUUUUAGACGAAAAUUUCGAGAAAACGAGCGCGAUUUUCGCGAACGCUCCUCGCUCUUCGGGGAUCCUCCACCAAACUUCCCGAAUUAGAAAUGCGGAGGAGACGAGACAAAUAUAGAGGGUGUCCCAGAUUCAUCGCAGUUCCUUUCACGUGCUAUUCACGAUCGGUUCUUCGAGCGGCUCCCAUAUUAGGUACAUAAAUCAGCGCCUGCUUUCUUCAAGUGUGGUCUGCGAGCCGUCUUUUACGUAACCGCGGAUCGGCAUCUCGAUCUAUUUCUCGAUUCGACGUAGCGAUCGUCUCACGCAUAAGCCAUAGACAUCCCAGCGCCACCUUCGUGUCCUGCAAAUUCUAACGUCUGCGAGGGCAGCGCGCAAACACGUUUUCGCAAUCGAUAUUAUCCCGGGUUGAAAGGACGAGGAUACGCAAAAAGGAUUCUCCUCUGAUCGGGGAACCGAGAGAAGGAGAGCUCCUUCUCCCUAUCAAACUGUCAUUGAAUGACGUCAUCGGGGAGAGCAAAUCGUUGGAGCGUUAACGCGAAGAAGCGACAAGAGAGACGCAGACAAGUUCAAGAACAAUCUACUUGGAAACUUCUUCGCGGGAUUAUUCGAGGGACCUAGAUUUUCGGAAUACACGUGUUUCCGGUAAACGAAUCUUCCAAUUCGAUUCGACGUGUAUGCUCGAUUGGUUGACACGCUUUCGAGAGAAUCGCCUUAUUGAUUAGACGCGCGGCAGGCGGCCAAGUGUAAACCUCGCAAUGGCUGAUUAUUCGCUCGGCAUUACCAGGUGUAUCAAAUGCUAAUGCGCGGCGAAGCAAGGUACUCGAGCAUCUGCUUAAGCGGCCCUUCGCGAGCGUCUCUCACUUGGGGCCCAAUCUCCCAUCGCACAUUUCAACGACUCAAUUCGCGGUUGCACAAUCGCCUCCGACUUCGUCUGCUUAUCGUCCGAUUUAUUCGACGAUCUUGAUAUUCAUUCUGAAUCGAAAAUGAAUCCCAGAUUAAUGUGGCGCAUGAAUCUUAUAUUGGUUUUAAUCCCGGUUCCCAUUAAAAGAAAUACCAAAUAUGCAGUACAAUCGGAUUAUCUCGCGUACGCAAACCAGUUUCAAAUUCAAUUAAAACUAUGGAAUUCAACUCGUAUCGAAUUUUUUGUAAUAAGUAGAGAACAAAAGUAAUUAUUGGAGUAAAAUAAAAUUACAUUAAUAUGAAGCUCCGAUAGCUCAUAAGUUUUCGUCAAGUGUCAAAAUUCAUAUUUUUCUCAGAAGGAUGAACGUUUUACAUUUUUUAUCCAAAUAUAUGAAAGAAGUUAUAUUUCUCCUCGGGAUGCACGGGAACAAGCAAAACCACUUUCGGAUAACGCGAGCUUUUCGCCUUUCCUCGUUUUCUGUUUAUUACUUUUUCUAUCGUUAAAACGUAUACUCUCUCGAGCAAUAUUUAUAUCCUUCUAGCGCGACUUCUCUUUUGCAUUUCGCGACGUGUAUAACGUAGGGAACGACUAUCCGUCCGUCUCCCCCGCUCACCCUGCGCGCUUUCGUUCUCGCCUCUCCCUCGAAACGACUAUAGAGACUAUUCGCAUCGGCCAUAUCAGCCGGUGCCAAUAACGUACCGGGCAGAUGGGAGAUGUGGUGAGGACCGGGUGGUUGUUGGACCGACCGUCGAACGGACGGGGGUGGCGGGGACAGCCGGGGGGUGCUUUACCAUCCGCAGACUCGUAUUCAUCGAUCACCGCGCCCGGAUAAUUAUAGCGUUUCGCCAAACUCGCGCUCCUCGAAAGGCCGAUGAUCGCGAUUACGCUCUGAGAAUGAAAUUAUACAUGUAUUCUCGCGAAACACUUUUGUAUUUUUUGCAAUUUUAACGAAAAUUUCCGGAAUUUUCAUGAGAAAAAGUCAAUCGAUGAAAAUAUACACAGAGUGUUUCUUAAUAAGUGCGAAAAAUUUCAAGAGAUGAUUCUUUGUCGAAAAUUAAGGAGGGUUUUUAUAUAAACAUAUACUCCUGCAUCCCUUCCUGUGAGUUGCGUUCUUCCA